rnacentral:rRNA from 1 species
GACGAACGCUGGCGGCGUGCUUAACACAUGCAAGUCGAACGGAAAGGCCCUGCUUUUGUGGGGUGCUCGAGUGGCGAACGGGUGAGUAACACGUGAGUAACCUGCCCUUGACUUUGGGAUAACUUCAGGAAACUGGGGCUAAUACCGGAUAGGAGCUCCUGCUGCAUGGUGUGGGUUGGAAAGUUUCGGCGGUUGGGGAUGGACUCGCGGCUUAUCAGCUUGUUGGUGGGGUAGUGGCUUACCAAGGCUUUGACGGGUAGCCGGCCUGAGAGGGUGACCGGCCACAUUGGGACUGAGAUACGGCCCAGACUCCUACGGGAGGUAGCAGUGGGGAAUAUUGCACAAUGGGCGGAAGCCUGAUGCAGCAACGCCGCGUGCGGGAUGACGGCCUUCGGGCUGUAAACCGCUUUCGCCUGUGACGAAGCGUGAGUGACGGUAAUGGGUAAAGAAGCACCGGCUAACUACGUG